GGAAUGUUUUAACAACAAAGUAAAGAUGAGUGAUUUGCUUGACUUUAUUGAUUUUGUAGACUAUACCAGAAGGUUUAGAGUAGUGGGGCCAAAUAAGAAGCCCAGGAGGAGUAACAUUAGAAGUCUAUAGGAAUAUAAAAGGGUAUAUUUCUAUCAAUGUUCAAGCAGUCACUGGGACAAACUUGGAAUGUUAUGAUCUAGUAGCCCGGUGGCCUGGCAGUACCCAUGAUAAUUUUAUUUAUAACAGCAGUGCAAGUAAACAAAGACUGAAUACUGGUGUGUUAAGAGGGAUAAUUUUAGGGGACAGCGGGUAUGCAGUUAGCAAUGUGCUACUGACACCGUUUUUAUCACCAAAUUCAACUGCACAAGAAAACUACAACAGAAGCCAAAUAAAAUAUAAUGUGGAAUACUGUGGAAAGAUGCUUUGGCAUUUGGAAAAGAAGGUUUCCUUGUCUCCAACUUGGCAUGGGCAUUAAGAUGGAUACAGUUGUGGCUGUUAUAUGUGCUUGUGCGACAUUGCAUAAUAUUUCUUUACAGGUUGAUGAUUUGGUUCCAAAGAACUGGGAAUCUCCUCAUAUUGAGAAUGAUGAUGUUGUCCUGAGUGAAAGGCGUGAAAGCACAACCAACAGCAAUGGAUUUUUGGUGCGACAAUCUAUAGUUGAUAGAUUUUUCUCAUAAUAUAAUUUUUAAUAAAUAAAAAUCCAUAAAAUAAGAGGAAUACUUUUUUAAUUGUUGAACAAGAGGCCAAUUAUGUAGAACAAAGUUUAUUUGACUUCCUCGCUGAUCUAGUGGUCGCAAGCGCGGCUGCUGUGCUCGAGGUCUCGGCCGGUCGGAGGUCGGGCCGAAAUCGCUUUUUGAGUUUUCUUAAACUUUCACAAAGCAGCCCGUAGUCUGGAAGUUGGUGAUUGAUUCCUGAUUGAACUCCUGUGUAAUACUAUCCCAUGCUGCUUGUUUCUUGGCGACUGACUUGCCAUCUGUUAUUUAAGAUUCCACGAUUGGUCUCUUUUUAACUAAUUGUGCUAACUAAGCUUUUUCGUCCGCCGUGAAAUUAGCCACACGUUUGCGUGGGGCUCUUGUUCCUGAAGACUCCUAAAAUGAAACAAGCACAAGUUAAAUUCUUCAAAUACAUAUGUGCAGCUACUAAUGUACAUAGAAACGAAACUUACCAUGAUAAUAUGUUAAGAUAAAGCUAUUUAUUUCAGAGCUUAUCACACUUUUCUUUCCUGACGGUUAACGGAACAAGAAUUUUAAACGUAACCUUGACACUGACAGUACAAUAUU